AAAAGGCUUCCAGGUCCGUUUAGUCCUUUCUUGUUUAGAAAAUGAAACAAAAUGGAUUUGUAGUAGAACAUUUUUUUUAUAUAGGUGCUUUUAGGGAAUGUUUACCUAGAUGUCUCUUGACUCGAGUGCCAUCCUGAAGGACUGGUGGGGGACUGCCAGUACUGUACAGAACUCGUCAGGGUCCUCCCCUCACCACCCCUGUGCUUUUUGUACAUGUCCUACGAGUUUUUGACUUGCCAUAAGCAGUUCAGACAGCAGUUGGAUCCUACCAAGCUGAAAUGCAGAACUAGCCUUAAUGAGAAGUCCCAGGAUCUCUGUAGUCAGAAGGGCUCACUCGGAUGAAUAAGGGCUAAGGAAGGAAUGACUUACAGGAUCAGGCUUUGGUCAGCUCGUCCCUGCAUCACAUUCUGCUCCCUUUUGACUUUGCAUGAAGGACUGAUACCAGCUUCUCAAACUGUUCCAUCCUCAUCCUGCAGUUUCUUCUAGUCAUUUGAAAAUGUUGCCUUAUAAACCAUUGGAAUUAAUGUAAGACCAUUUCUUUUUUCAAUUCUUAACAGCUUAGUUACUGCCUUAAAAACAAAAAUCAAAAUCCUUUGAAGCUGCUGUGGAUUAGGAACAAAUGAUUUUGAGAGAAUAGCUGCAUUCUUAGCCCUUUACUCAAAGGGACCAGCAUUUUUAUUUAUAAAUACCAAAGAUGAAGAAGCUAAACAAUUUUGUGGUAAGUUGCUGUGAAAAACCAGCUCUCUAGUACUGUGCAUUGUGCAUUUUCAGUGCUGUGUUUGAAGUGGGACCCCUCAGGUGUGUCACUGGACUCCAAGGUGAAGUCUUCAACGGCACGAGGAGCAGUUGGGUACCUCAUUCCUGUUGUCUUCCAGCAAAAGUUGGAUGUCUUUGAAUCCAGUCCUGCUGGACACACCUUUGCAGUGGGAGGUUCUGUAUCCCAGCUGCUGUUGCUGGAUUUGUAGAAGUAAUUCCAAUCUGAAUUUCCAAUGGAUCUGAACACCUUAUGCUGCCAGUUCAUCUCUGUAUCAUGCCUAGCACAAAGCUGCACUAAGUGUUUCUUAUCACUGUGCCCUGACUCUGCCUUAACCUCUGAGAUGAAAAAGUGUUCUGUAAAUAUUCAAAAGCUGUUACAAAAUUGCACUGUACAAUUUGACAGGUGUAGUCAACUUUUUAUGGAGCGAUCUCAUUGUGUUGUGUAAAUAAAAUCCUCUUAGUAAACACAA